UACGGAGGGUGCGAGCGUUGUCCGGAAUCAUUGGGCGUAAAGGGCGCGUAGGUGGCUUCUUAAGCGUGCGGUGAAAGCCUGGGGCUCAACCCCGGGUCGGCCGUGCGAACUGGGGGGCUGGAGCACUGUAGAGGCAGGCGGAAUUCCGGGUGUAGCGGUGAAAUGCGUAGAGAUCCGGAAGAACACCGGUGGCGAAGGCGGCCUGCUGGGCAGUUGCUGACACUGAGGCGCGACAGCGUGGGGAGCAAACAGG
rnacentral:rRNA from 1 species